rnacentral:rRNA from 1 species
AUUGAACGCUGGCGGCAGGCCUAACACAUGCAAGUCGAACGAGUGGCGGACGGGUGAGUAAUGUCUGGGAAACUGCCUGAUGGAGGGGGAUAACUACUGUAAACGGUAGCUAAUACCGCAUACCAUCAGUUCUGCUCAGGCGGGAUUAGCUAGUUGGUGGGGUAACGGCUCACCAAGGCGACGAGCCCUAGCUGGUCUGAGAGGAUGACCGGCCACACUGGAACUGAGACACGGUCCAGACUCCUACGGGAGGCAGCAGUGGGGAAUAUUGCACAAUGGGCGCAAGCCUGAUGCAGCCAUGCCGCGUGUAUGAAGAAGGCCUUCGGGUUGUGAAGUACUUUCGGCGGGGAAGCGUUACCCACAGAAGAAGCACCGGCUAACUACGUGCCAGCAGCCGCGGUAAUAC